AGCCUGACUCCUGAGAGCUAAGUUCAGCAUGAGCCGCGGAGAACCUGCAGCGCUGUACGGUACUAAACUACCACAAAGAUAAAACGUACACGCACGACUCGGCGACGUCGGGUGUUGGUGUAACGACAUUUUUUGUUCCGCGUUUUCCCUGCCGCUCUGGUAUACACAGAAGCAGUGUUUUUAGUGCACGCCUGAAAACUUCCCAGCAGCCUAGCACACUCAGUAUCUCUCUAAAAGUGCGAGAGAGAAAGACGGAGCCGCUCGUGCGACAGAGAGUGGGAAGAAGAGAAAGAGAGAGAGAGAGAGAGAGUGUAUGUGUGUAAUACUAUCGACGAUACAUAAACAUACAACGACGACGACGCAAGCAAAUACAUCCAACUGAUUGACUUAUAUUUUUCGCCUGCGAUCGUGUGAAUUCUUUUUAUAAUUUGACGAUCAUGGACCCGGCGAAGCUUAAAGUUGUCGAGUUGCGUGCAGAGUUGCAAAAACGCGGACUCGAUACGAAAGGCAACAAACCCGUGCUCGUUGAAAGAUUGAAACAAGCUCUCGAUGAAGAACGUGGCGGCGGUAGUGCAUCCAAUACCGAUGCUGUUUCUAAUAAACCAGAAUCAGAAAGCUCAAAAUCUGACCAAGAUCAAGAAAGCGAAGAAGAUCAACAGGAACCUCAAAGACGAUUACCGCCUCGAACUCCUAGCAGAGCUUCAAGGCAGUCUUCUCGGGAACCAACAACACCUGCUAAAACUCCAACCAGACGCAGUAGUUCAAGAUCUUCUUUGAAUAGGCAAUCUCCUGCUAAGCAAUUACAUGCUGAAGUUGAAAUAACUCCAGUAUUAGAACCUAUUGUCGAAGAGGAAAAAAUGUCUCCUAAAAAAGAAAGUUCUACUGCAGAAAGUGAUGUUUCAUCACCUAAAAGAGAAAAAGCAUCAAUGGACGAGGAUGCAAAAGAAAAAGAUUUGACCAAUUCACCUCAAAAAGAGACACCUAAAAAAGAAAGUACAUUAGUACAAGCUAAGUCUCCUGAAGCUAAGCUUGAAAUUGUAAAAGAAGCAGAAAAACAUGAAAAUGAAGAAGAAUCACAGUUGAUAACAAAACGUUCAACGGAAGAAGUUCAGAAAGAAAUGGCUGUAACUCCAGCAUCUGAACAAACCACUAGUUCUCCCUUGAAAUCUGAUGCUCAAAGUCCAGUAAAAUCUACCACUCAAGCUGUCAAAGUGUCAGAAAGUCCACUUAAAAUAGGUUCUCCAAGUCCUCAAAAAGUAGAACCAAUGACACGGAGCUCUCCUAAAACUGUGCCUGUAAGCCCUGUGAAGUCAGUGCCUCAAAGUCCCAUCAAAUCAAAUGUACAAGAUCUGGCUCAACCAGAUUCACACAAUACUACAAAAACUGAUGCAAAUAGUCCUUGCAAAUCUACUGAGCUAACUCCAGAGCAAGCACAUUUACAAAGUCCUUCUAAAGUGGCUGAACAGAGCUCUGAAAAACAAGCUGCUUCUGAAAGUCCAUCAAAGAAGCAAAAGACAGAAGAAGAAGAAGCCAUGCAAAUUGAAGAAGAACCCAAUGAAAAACAAGAGGAAAACGAUGACAAAUCAAUGGAAACUGAUCAGUCUGAUGAUAAGUCAAAUGACAAAAAACGUAAACGAUCACCAAGUCCCCAAGAAGAUACUCCACGAGCCCCUCCAAUUGCGAGACCUGAAAAUGAACCUUUACUAAAAGAAGAUGAACUUCUACUCUCGUGGUAUGAUUCCGACCUGCAUUUGGUAUUAAAUCCAAUGACUUAUCUAUCAGCUUCUCCAAUGCAGGGUGAUGGUUUUAAUUUUAUGUGGGCCGGUGCCCGUCUUUCACAUGGAUUUAAUAAGGGUAAAAUCUACUAUGAAGCAAAGGUAGCAUCUGAAUUUAAUAAUAUAGCUAGUGGACCAAGAGAUACUACUGGAGCAUUACCUGAUGAUGGCGAGCAAAUUCCGAGUUUGAUGAGGCUAGGCUGGUCAACCAUGGGCACUUCACUACAAUUGGGUGAAGAAAAAUUGUCUUUUGGCUAUGAAGGUACUGGAAAGAAAUGCACAAAUAAUGAGUUUACUGAGUAUGGUAAAUCUUUUGCCAAAAAUGAUAUUAUUGGAUGUUAUGCUGACUUCGAAACUGAUGACAAUAUUACUCUAACGUAUACUGUUAAUGGAGAAGUUCAAGAUCCAGCUUUUGUCAUAAAAAAAGAAGAACUUGAGGGCAAGGCUCUGUUCCCUCACAUACUGAUUAGAAAUUGUACCGUUAAUUUGAAUCUUGGGCAAGAAGAACCCUGGAGCAAUAACAUCCUGGAAGGAUAUCAAGUUCUUCAAAAAGUGGAUGUUAAUGAUAGAAUAGUAGGACCUCGAAGACCUACAAAAAGAGACGAAUGCGAAGUAAUUUUGUUAUGUGGUUUACCAUUUUCUGGAAAAACAGAUUGGGCUGAAAAGCACAUGGCUGAAUAUCCUGAUAAAUUAUAUACCGUUUUAGGAAUAUCUAAUCUUCUUGACAAGAUGAAGGUUGAAGGACAACCUUUCAAAUCAAGAUUCAAAGGACAGUGGGAAACAGUCGUCGAAAAGUGUUCUCGUGCUCUUGGCAAACUUCUAGAAUCUGCACCUUCUCGCAGACGAAAUUAUAUUUUAGAUCAACAAUCGAAUGUGUACGGUUCAGCGCAAAAACGUAAAAUGAGGAACUUUUAUGGUUUCCAUCGUAAAGCUGUAGUGUUGAUAUCGAAUGAUGAUGAAACCAAAACCCGUAUGGCCAAACGUAAAGAAGAAACUAAUAACGAAGAAAUUAGAGAAUCAAGCAUGCUGGAAGUUAAAGCUAUUAUCAAUGCUCCUGUCGUCGGUGAAUCUUUCGAAGAAGUUAUUUGGUAUCCAGUUAGCGAAGAAGAAGGUAAAAGAUUGAUUGAAACAUACAAUCAAGAAGGUAAAUCUGCUGGAUAUGGACAAAACCAAUCAAGCCAACACAAACGAUCUCGAUACGAUAAUAAUGGACAAAAAGAUCAUAGAAAUAACCGAGAUAACAGAGAUAAUAGAGAUCGUCGACCUAGUAACUACAAUGAAAGAAGAAGUGGAGCAGGGUCCUGGCGUGGAGGCUCUUCCCGAAGUGGUGGCGGCAGUAGUGGCGGCGGAGGUGGUCAUUGGCGUGGUGGUGGUGGUAUGCGUGGCCCACCAAUGAGGCAUGGAGGAGGAGGUGGUGGCAGUGGUGGAUAUGGAUCACCAGGGGGAUGGAGAGGAGGCCGAGGAGGCUCUGGUCAAAGAAAUAACGAUCGACGUAACAAUGACCGACGUUGGGGAGGCUAUCAGAACAAUUGGAGCGGUCAAAGUGGUGGAUAUCCAGGCGGAUACCAAUCAUCCGGCGCUGCUAGUUGGAAUCAAGGAGGUGGACAGCAAGCAUGGGGUGGUGCUUCAAAUUGGAAAGCAUAUGGAGCCCAAAAUAACUACACCUCAGACAGCUAUGGUCAGCAAGGUGGUUAUGGGAAUGGAAACUGGAGUAGCUGGAGUGGUGGUCAGAGUGGUCAGGGUCAGUAUUAUAAUCAACAACAGCAACAACAGUAUUGGGGUGGACAGACGCAGCAACAAUCUGGACAAAUCACAGGUUCACAAACGCAGUCUGGACAACCUGCUGUCAAAAAAUAAAAAACUACAUUAGUUCACAACUUCUCUCGAAGAAGACUAGUAAUCACAUCAAGAAGUAAAUUACGCGUCAUUUAAAGAUAACUAAGAUGAUUUUUCAAAAAAUAAUUGUUAUUGAUCAAGAUCAACGUGAUGACGGCGAGGAUUUCAGAAAAAAAAACAUUCACUGAUAUUCAGAGAAACUACAAAAAUUUGAUCGAUUUAUACUCUAAUCAGAAAAAUUAUAACUAUAAUUAUGCGCACGUGUUGAAUGCAUUUUGAAUAGUAUUUUAUAAGUCUGUUGCAGUGAAAAGUAAUGUGUGAGCCUGAGUUAUUUUUGCUUUACUUCGAGUAUAUUGUACUCACUUGGGUAAAUUUAAAAAUUAAGUCAGUUUAAUGUAGCAUAUUUGUAUGAAUGUAUCAUUAUUUGUUAGUAUAAAAUACUUGAACUUAUAAACACAUUAAAAUUAUCAUUGUGUCAAGAAAAUGUUACACUAAGCAAGAAUGAUAAUAUUAAAAAAAAAAAUUAUAUGCACAUUAAUAUAUUUAACGGUAUGAGUACUUCAUAAAAGUACAAUGAGACGGAUUUGUCAAAUUAAUUAUAAUUUCAUAAGUUAUUUUGCAUUUUUUGCAAUUUGACUUACGAGUUUUGACUCUACUGAAUGUAUAAAAAAAAAGGCAGUUUUUUGUAAAUAUGUAAAAAUAAAUUUCUACAAACUUAAAAACGCAAAAAUGUGCUGUAGUUACGCCUUUUUUAAAUCACGCGACACAGCUAAAACUGUCGUUUUUUUUCGUCCGUUCAAUGUGUGUGUUUUAAACUCGAGAGACUUGAUGAAUAAACGAAUGAGUGUUCGUUUAAAAUAUUUAUACUACUGAAUAUUAUCUCAUUUAUGCUUGCAAAAUAUUAGCAAUAAAAUGAAGUAAAAUUUUGGCUCCAGAGAAGAAUUGGCGAAUGUCUAAAAUUCAAUUUAUAAUUAGAUAAGGUUUAGCAUGUAAGUAUCUUUAUGAGGUACACUUUAUACGAAAUCAUUUUUCAAUGUAUCAGUUACCUUUAAAACUUUGUUCUUGUUUAUAAUAAUGAUAAUAAGAAUAAUAA